rnacentral:rRNA from 1 species
GACGAACGCUGGCGGCGUGCUUAACACAUGCAAGUCGAACGAGAAAGCACCUUCGGGUGUGAGUACAGUGGCGAACGGGUGAGUAACACGUGGGCAACCUGCCCCGGAGACUGGGAUAACGUCCCGAAAGGGACGCUAAUACCGGAUGACGCGCGAUCUGCCAAGUAGGUCGCGCCAAAUGGUAGCUUCGGCUUCUGCUCUGGGAUGGGCCCGCGCCGGAUUAGCUUGUUGGUGGGGUAAUGGCUCACCAAGGCGACGAUCCGUAGCUGGUCUGAGAGGACGAUCAGCCACACUGGGACUGAGACACGGCCCAGACUCCUACGGGAGGCAGCAGUGGGGAAUCUUGCGCAAUGGGCGAAAGCCUGACGCAGCAACGCCGCGUGAGCGAAGACGGCCUCGGUCGGUAACUACCUGUCAGAGGUGAGAAUACCGCAAGGUUGACGGUACCGUACAGAGGAAGCCCGGCCGUAACUAACGUGCCACGCAGCCGCGGU